rnacentral:rRNA from 1 species
AGAGUUUGAUCCUGGCUCAGAUUGAACGCUGGCGGUAUGCUUAACACAUGCAAGUCGAACGGUAACAUAGCUAGCUUGCUAGCUGAUGACGAGUGGCGGACGGGUGAGUAACGCGUAGGAAUUUACCUAUUGGCGGGGGAUAGCCCAGAGAAAUUUGGAUUAAUACCGCAUAAGCCCUACGGGGAAAGCGGGGGACCACUUGUGGCCUCGCACCGAUAGAUGAGCCUGCGUUAGAUUAGCUAGUUGGUAGGGUAAUGGCCUACCAAGGCGACGAUCUAUAGCUGGUCUGAGAGGAUGAUCAGCCACACUGGGACUGAGACACGGCCCAGACUCCUACGGGAGGCAGCAGUGGGGAAUAUUGGACAAUGGGCGCAAGCCUGAUCCAGCAAUACCGCGUGUAUGAAGAAGGCUCUAGGGUCGUAAAGUACUUUCAGAGGGGAGGAAAUGUUGUAGUUUAAUACCUAACAGCUGUGACGUUACCUACAGAAGAAGCACCGGCUAACUCGUGCCAGCAGCUGUGGUAAUACGGAGGGUGCAAGCGUUAAUCGGAAUUACUGGGCGUAAAGCGCGCGUAGGUGGUUGUGUAAGUGGAAUGUGAAAGUCCUGGGUUUAACCUGGGAAUUGCAUAUUAAACUGCGCAACUAGAGUACAGUAGAGGGGAGUGGAAUUUCAGGUGUAGCGGUGAAAUGCGUAGAGAUCUGAAGGAAUACCGGUGGCGAAGGCGGCCCCCUGGAUUGAUACUGACACUGAGGUGCGAAAGCGUGGGUAGUAAAUAGGAUUAGAUAUCCUGGUAGUCCACGCCGUAAACGAUGUCUACUAGCCGUUGGAAUCUUUAGAGGUUUUAGUGGCGCAGCUAACGCAAUAAGUAGACCGCCUGGGGAGUAUGGCCGCAAGGCUAAAACUCAAAUGAAUUGACGGGGGCCCGCACAAGCGGUGGAGCAUGUGGUUUAAUUCGACGCAACGCGAAGAACCUUACCUACUCUUGACAUUUUCGGAAUUUAGCAGAGAGAUGCUUUGGUGCCUUCGGGAACCGAGUGACAGGUGCUGCAUGGCUGUCGUCAGCUCGUGUUGUGAGAUGUUGGGUUAAGUCCCGUAACGAGCGCAACCCUUGUCCUUAUUGCCAGCACGUAAUGGUGGGAACUCUAGGGAGACUGCCGGUGAUAAACUGGAGGAAGGUGGGGACGACGUCAAGUCAUCAUGGCCCUUAUGGGUAGGGCUACACACGUGCUACAAUGGGCAGUACAGAGGGUCGCGAAGCCGCGAGGUGGAGCCAAUCUCAGAAAGCUGCUCGUAGUCCGGAUUGGAGUCUGCAACUCGACUCCAUGAAGUUGGAAUCGCUAGUAAUCGCGGAUCAGAAUGCCGCGGUGAAUACGUUCUCGGGCCUUGUACACACCGCCCGUCACACCAUGGGAGUAGGCUGUACCAGAAGUAGGUAGACUAACCUUCGGGGGGUCGCUUACCACGGUAUGGUUUAUGACUGGGGUGAAGUCGUAACAAGGUA